GGAUAACAGAUAUUUUCAUAAGCCCACCAAAAUCCAAAAUAUGCAAAAGAAGAUGUCAUCUUUGGUUGAUGAGAAACAAAAAAAACCAAAAAACACAGCCGCAACUGAACUCCUCAGUAGCUCAGCUCUCUCUCCCUCCCUAAAAUCCCUCAAAUGUUGCAGACCCAACACCUUCUCCUUUCCAAUUUCCCCAUCUUUCUCUCUCAUCCCCAAACCAACUUUCUCUCACCUCCCAAUCUCUCACCUUUUCCUCUCACUUUUCUCCACAAACCCACCAGUCUCUGCCCUGUCUCAGCCCAUUCCAGAGCCGGACCCGAACAAUGGCUAGCCGAAGCUCCAGAACCCACCACCGCGACCCCAUACACUCCCUUAGAAUUUGCUCCAGACGGUCCCGAAGAAUUGCCACCGUCUUCUUCUCCAGUGUUUGCCACCAAUGAUGACCCUUCAUCUCUCCAAGUGGCCACCAGUGUUCUUCUCACAGGUGCCAUCACUGUCUUCCUCUUUCGCUCGCUGCGACGCCGUGCCAAGCGUGCUAAAGAACUGAAAUAUAGGUCAUCUGGAGUGAAGAAGUCAUUGAAGGAUGAGGCUUUGGAUAGCUUGAAAGCACUGUCUACAGGUUCUGUUGAAGCAAAGGGUCCACCGUCACCUGUUCAGGCGUUGUUGGGUGGAAUAUCAGCCGGCGUCAUUGCACUUAUUCUUUAUAAGUUCACUACUACAAUUGAAGCAUCUCUCAACCGCCAAACUAUUUCUGAUAAUUUUUCGGUUCGUCAGAUUACAAUAACCAUAAGGACCAUUAUAAAUGGGUUAUGCUACCUUGCAACAUUUGUGUUCGGCAUCAAUGCUGUGGGUUUAGUCCUUUAUGCUGGUCAGCUCGCCAUCAACUCUAUCAUGGAAGAUAUAAAUGAAGACACUCAGACUCAAGGUGAGGAGCAGUCAGGCUCACUGAAUUCAACGGUUGAAAGCCCCACAAAUAGUGGUGAGAACAGCAAUAAGGAUGAUCAAGAUUCAGAUGGAACACAAUAGAGUAGAACCAACAUUGACGCAGAAGCAGGUUUUGUCAUUUCAACUUAUUUCUAGGAGUGGAAUUUGAAUCAAGCCUGUGCAAAACCAACACCAUGGUCACUGAGCAAACAAACAUUGGAAUCGGACCAAAAAUCCAAAGCAGCACAGUAGUGGCAAAGUAGAUAGCUCUUAGCCCCAAUGUCCAGAACAAGCCUCCACUUAUCACCGCCUUCUCGACAUGCUCCUGAGGAAUAUCACUGUCUGGCAUACUGAUGAGGAAAUUGGCAUGAACAAAGUCUCUUAUACAAUGUAAAAAAGAAGCUAAGGCCAGCAGGAAGCAGGCCAGAAUGCUAAUAUAUUUGACGGAAACUAGCAUAGGACUUGUGUCGCCGUAUGUAAUACUGCUCGUGAAGACAUUGUGCGAAGAGUUUCCAAUCCAUGCUCCGAUGAGAGAGCUUAAGGCUAGAGAGGUUGAGGCUAAGAAAUUUGCUGCUGUUGUGGUGCUAGAGAUUACUGCUAGGGACAUACCUCUGUCCUUUGCAUCAACCUGCAAUUAAUUAAAGACCAAAUAGAGUUAUAUAC